CUGCACUACUUUUGAUUGUAGUCUGAUACUUAAGUAUUUGCUCAUUGAAGCUACACAAGAAACUCAGCUCUGUCCCACUGGAGGACAGCACUUACCUCCUCAGCAGCAAAGUGGUUGCUAAAGGAAGCACAGAGUGGCUUCUCUAGCAGGACGAGGUAACUGCAGGUCACAAGGGUUGUGUGCCCUCAGAAUUACAGCACAAAGGCAGAAAAUGGUAUGUCAGCUCCAUUGUCUUGCAUAGCUAUUUUCCAUCACAACGAGGCGGUAGCAAGGCUAGCUCCGGGCACAGCACACAGUUGAAUUGAAAGAUUAUUCUUGCUCCCCAGAUUUAUCAAGCAGAUGUUGACUUGCUUUUCAGGUGUGGAUGCUGCUACUGCUGCCCAGGACACAGCCAGCUCCAGAGGAGGUCACUGCAGAAUUUUUGGCAGAGGAGGGAGAUACAUAUAUUGCAUUAAAGCUACCUGAAGAUGGAAACUGACAAGGGGAAAGCUUUUCUCCCAUCCUGUUGAAACUGAGGACCAAAUGCAACCUCACAGAUUCCUGCUUAUGUUCCUGUUUUGCUCUCUCAUUGCUCCUGGUUUUACUAAAAUCACUUUCUAAGGUGAGUGCCACUAGUAAAUGUUUUUAUACGUACCACUGAUGACUUUUCAUCAUCCCUACCAAGUAUCCAGGUGCACUUCUACUGGCAUCACAAGGGAAAUAUAGGGUAACCAAUAAAAAAAAACAAAACAAAACA
rnacentral:lncRNA from 1 species